AACGAACGCUGGCGGCAUGCCUAACACAUGCAAGUCGAACGAGACCUUCGGGUCUAGUGGCGCACGGGUGCGUAACGCGUGGGAACCUGCCCUUAGGUUCGGAAUAACUCCCCGAAAGGGGUGCUAAUACCGGAUAAUGUCUUCGGACCAAAGAUUUAUCGCCUUUGGAUGGGCCCGCGUUGGAUUAGCUAGUUGGUAGGGUAAAAGCCUACCAAGGCGACGAUCCAUAGCUGGUCUGAGAGGAUGAUCAGCCACACUGGGACUGAGACACGGCCCAGACUCCUACGGGAGGCAGCAGUGGGGAAUAUUGGACAAUGGGCGAAAGCCUGAUACAGCAAUGCCGCGUGAGUGAUGAAGGCCUUAGGGUUGUAAAGCUCUUUUACACGGGAUGAUAAUGACAGUACCGGGAGAAUAAGCUCCGGCUAACUCCGUG
rnacentral:rRNA from 1 species